rnacentral:tRNA from 1 species
GCCAGCGUGGUAUAGUGGUUUGAGUGUUGGACUAAAUCUCUGGAGACCAGGGUUUGAUUCCCAGCUUGGCC